AUGAGAAGGCCGUAGAGGCCUUAAAAAGAUAAAUUAAGAAUGAGCAGGACAAGGUGGCCAAGGCAGUGAAACUGUACAAGACUUUCGAAGAGUUUGAGGAUGAAGUGUCUGAGAGCUCCGAGGGCGCAUAUGACUACGCCUUUAGCAAGUACCGAAAUUUGAUCAAGAAGCUAUAUCCUGAGGUAGACAUCUCUAGGGUCACUUUAAAGGUGGCUGUUGUGUGGG
rnacentral:lncRNA from 1 species